UACGUAGGGAGCAAGCGUUGUUCGGAUUUACUGGGCGUAAAGGGCGCGUAGGCGGCAUAUUAAGUCAUCUGUGAAAUCUCCGAGCUUAACUCGGAACUGUCAGCUGAUACUGAUGUGCUAGAGUGCGGAAGGGGCAAUCGGAAUUCUUGGUGUAGCGGUGAAAUGCGUAGAUAUCAAGAGGAACACCUGAGGUGAAGACGGGUUGCUGGGCCGACGCUGACGCUGAGUGCGCGAAAGCCAGGGGAGCAAACGGG
rnacentral:rRNA from 1 species